rnacentral:rRNA from 1 species
CCUACGGGUGGCAGCCGUGAGGACUAUUGGUCAAUGGGCGCGAGCCUGAACCAGCCAAGUAGCGUGAAGGAUGACUGCCCUACGGGUUGUAAACUUCUUUUAUCAAGGAAUAAAGUCAGGCACGUGUGCCUUUUUGUAUGUACUUUAUGAAUAAGGAUCGGCUAACUCCGUGCCAGCAGCCGCGGUAAUACGGAGGAUCCGAGCGUUAUCCGGCUUUAUUGGGGUUAAAGGGUGCGUAGAUGGGUUGUUAAGUCAGUGGUGAAAGCUUGCGGCUCAACCGUAAAAUUGCAAUUGAUACUGGCAGUCUUGAGUGCGAGUGAGGUAUGCGGAAUGCGUGGUGUAGCGGUGAAAUGCUUAGAUAUCACGAAGAACGCCGAUUGCGAAGGCAGCUUACUAACCUGCCACUGACGCUGAGGCACGAAAGUGUGGGUAUCAAACAGGAUUAGAUACCCUUGUAGUC